UAGGGAAUCUUCGGCAAUGGACGAAAGUCUGACCGAGCAACGCCGCGUGAGUGAAGAAGGUUUUCGGAUCGUAAAACUCUGUUGUUAGAGAAGAACAAGGACGUUAGUAACUGAACGUCCCCUGACGGUAUCUAACCAGAAAGCCACGGCUAACUACGUGCCAGCAGCCGCGGUAAUACGUAGGUGGCAAGCGUUGUCCGGAUUUAUUGGGCGUAAAGCGAGCGCAGGCGGUUUCUUAAGUCUGAUGUGAAAGCCCCUGGCUCAACCGGGGAGGGUCAUUGGAAACUGGGAGACUUGAGUGCAGAAGAGGAGAGUGGAGUUCCAUGUGUAGCGGUGAAAUGCGUAGAUAUAUGGAGGAACACCAGUGGCGAAGGCGGCUCUCUGGUCUGUAACUGACGCUGAGGCUCGAAAGCGUGGGGAGCAAACAGG
rnacentral:rRNA from 1 species